UCUUCAUGUUUUUCGGUUUCU
rnacentral:piRNA from 1 species